GGUUAAGCGACUAAGCGUACACGGUGGAUGCCCUGGCAGUCAGAGGCGAUGAAGGGCGUGCUAAUCUGCGAUAAGCGCCGGUAAGGUGAUAUGAACCGUUAUAACCGGCGAUACCCGAAUGGGGAAACCCAGUGUGAUUCGUCACACUAUCAUUAACUGAAUCCAUAGGUUAAUGAGGCGAACCGGGGGAACUGAAACAUCUAAGUACCCCGAGGAAAAGAAAUCAACCGAGAUUCCCCCAGUAGCGGCGAGCGAACGGGGAGGAGCCCAGAGCCUGAAUCAGCAUGUGUGUUAGUGGAAGCGUCUGGAAAGGCGCGCGAUACAGGGUGACAGCCCCGUACACAAAAGCGCAUGUGCUGUGAGCUCGAUGAGUAGGGCGGGACACGUGGUAUCCUGUCUGAAUAUGGGGGGACCAUCCUCCAAGGCUAAAUACUCCUGACUGACCGAUAGUGAACCAGUACCGUGAGGGAAAGGCGAAAAGAACCCCGGCGAGGGGAGUGAAAAAGAACCUGAAACCGUGUACGUACAAGCAGUGGGAGCCCCACCACUAAGCCAGUGGUGAACUCCACAUACGCAUCCUUUGCUGAGGAUACGGUUAACGGAGCGAAAGCGACGUUCAACCUCAAAAGAAGCAGAGGGGGCUUAGUGGUGGGGUGACUGCGUACCUUUUGUAUAAUGGGUCAGCGACUUAUAUUCUGUAGCAAGGUUAACCGUAUAGGGGAGCCGGAGGGAAACCGAGUCUUAAUUGGGCGUUAAGUUGCAGGGUAUAGACCCGAAACCCGGUGAUCUAGCCAUGGGCAGGUUGAAGGUUGGGUAACACUAACUGGAGGACCGAACCGACUAAUGUUGAAAAAUUAGCGGAUGACCUGUGGCUGGGGGUGAAAGGCCAAUCAAACCGGGAGAUAGCUGGUUCUCCCCGAAAGCUAUUUAGGUAGCGCCUCGUGAAUUCAUCUUCGGGGGUAGAGCACUGUUUCGGCUAGGGGGUCAUCCCGACUUACCAACCCGAUGCAAACUGCGAAUACCGGAGAAUGUUAUCACGGGAGACACACGGCGGGUGCUAACGUCCGUCGUGAAGAGGGAAACAACCCAGACCGCCAGCUAAGGUCCCAAAGUCAUGGUUAAGUGGGAAACGAUGUGGGAAGGCCCAGACAGCCAGGAUGUUGGCUUAGAAGCAGCCAUCAUUUAAAGAAAGCGUAAUAGCUCACUGGUCGAGUCGGCCUGCGCGGAAGAUGUAACGGGGCUAAACCAUGCACCGAAGCUGCGGCAGCGAACGUAUCACUUAAAGCGAUUCAGCGGGUUACGAUUGACGGAGCGAAGCGACGUCAAAGCGUAUACAAAGUCGAGUCGGUUUAAGGAUACGUUCGUUGGGUAGGGGAGCGUUCUGUAAGCCUGCGAAGGUGGCCUGUGAGGGUUGCUGGAGGUAUCAGAAGUGCGAAUGCUGACAUAAGUAACGAUAAAGCGGGUGAAAAGCCCGCUCGCCGGAAGACCAAGGGUUCCUGUCCAACGUUAAUCGGGGCAGGGUGAGUCGACCCCUAAGGCGAGGCCGAAAGGCGUAGUCGAUGGGAAACGGGUUAAUAUUCCCGUACUUGGUGUUACUGCGAAGGGGGGACGGAGAAGGCUAUGUUGGCCGGGCGACGGUUGUCCCGGUUUAAGCGUGUAGGUGUGUGUUCCAGGUAAAUCCGGUUCACUUUAACACUGAGGCGUGAUGACGAGGCACUACGGUGCUGAAGCAACAAAUGCCCUGCUUCCAGGAAAAGCCUCUAAGCAUCAGGUAACAUCAAAUCGUACCCCAAACCGACACAGGUGGUCAGGUAGAGAAUACCAAGGCGCUUGAGAGAACUCGGGUGAAGGAACUAGGCAAAAUGGUGCCGUAACUUCGGGAGAAGGCACGCUGACACGUAGGUGAAGUGAUUUACUCAUGGAGCUGAAGUCAGUCGAAGAUACCAGCUGGCUGCAACUGUUUAUUAAAAACACAGCACUGUGCAAACACGAAAGUGGACGUAUACGGUGUGACGCCUGCCCGGUGCCGGAAGGUUAAUUGAUGGGGUCAGCGCAAGCGAAGCUCCUGAUCGAAGCCCCGGUAAACGGCGGCCGUAACUAUAACGGUCCUAAGGUAGCGAAAUUCCUUGUCGGGUAAGUUCCGACCUGCACGAAUGGCGUAAUGAUGGCCAGGCUGUCUCCACCCGAGACUCAGUGAAAUUGAACUCGCUGUGAAGAUGCAGUGUACCCGCGGCAAGACGGAAAGACCCCGUGAACCUUUACUAUAGCUUGACACUGAACAUUGAGCCUUGAUGUGUAGGAUAGGUGGGAGGCUUUGAAGUGUGGACGCCAGUCUGCAUGGAGCCGACCUUGAAAUACCACCCUUUAAUGUUUGAUGUUCUAACGUGGACCCGUAAUCCGGGUUGCGGACAGUGUCUGGUGGGUAGUUUGACUGGGGCGGUCUCCUCCUAAAGAGUAACGGAGGAGCACGAAGGUUGGCUAAUCCUGGUCGGACAUCAGGAGGUUAGUGCAAUGGCAUAAGCCAGCUUGACUGCGAGCGUGACGGCGCGAGCAGGUGCGAAAGCAGGUCAUAGUGAUCCGGUGGUUCUGAAUGGAAGGGCCAUCGCUCAACGGAUAAAAGGUACUCCGGGGAUAACAGGCUGAUACCGCCCAAGAGUUCAUAUCGACGGCGGUGUUUGGCACCUCGAUGUCGGCUCAUCACAUCCUGGGGCUGAAGUAGGUCCCAAGGGUAUGGCUGUUCGCCAUUUAAAGUGGUACGCGAGCUGGGUUUAGAACGUCGUGAGACAGUUCGGUCCCUAUCUGCCGUGGGCGCUGGAGAACUGAGGGGGGCUGCUCCUAGUACGAGAGGACCGGAGUGGACGCAUCACUGGUGUUCGGGUUGUCAUGCCAAUGGCACUGCCCGGUAGCUAAAUGCGGAAGAGAUAAGUGCUGAAAGCAUCUAAGCACGAAACUUGCCCCGAGAUGAGUUCUCCCUGAGACUUAGAGUCUCCUGAAGGAACGUUGAAGACGACGACGUUGAUAGGCCGGGUGUGUAAGCGCAGCGAUGCGUUGAGCUAACCGGUACUAAUGAACCGUGAGGCUUAACCUU
rnacentral:rRNA from 1 species